GGGCGCUUAGCUCAGCGGGAGAGCGUUUCGUUCACACCGAAAAGGUCACUGGUUCGAUCCCAGUAGCGCCCA
rnacentral:tRNA from 1 species